AGAGUUUGAUCCUGGCUCAGAACGAACGCUGGCGGCAUGCCUAACACAUGCAAGUCGAACGAGACCUUCGGGUCUAGUGGCGCACGGGUGCGUAACGCGUGGGAAUCUGCCCUUGGGUUCGGGAUAACAGUUGGAAACGACUGCUAAUACCGGAUAAUGACUUCGGUCCAAAGAUUUAUCGCCCAGGGACGAGCCCGCGUAAGAUUAGCUUGUUGGUGAGGUAAAGGCUCACCAAGGCUACGAUCUUUAGCUGGUCUGAGAGGAUGAUCAGCCACACUGGGACUGAGACACGGCCCAGACUCCUACGGGAGGCAGCAGUGGGGAAUAUUGGACAAUGGGCGCAAGCCUGAUCCAGCCAUGCCGCGUGAGUGAUGAAGGCCUUAGGGUUGUAAAGCUCUUUCGGCGGGGACGAUAAUGACGGUACCCCCUGAAUAAGCCCCGGCUAACUACGUGCCAGCAGCCGCGGUAAUACGUAGGGGGCGAGCGUUGUCCGAAGUUACUGGGCGUAAAGCGCGCGUAGGCGGGUCUUUAAGGCUGGUGUGAAAGGUUCAGGGCUCAACCCGAACAGGGCACUGGCGACUGGGGACCUUGAGUGGGGGAGAGGGAAGCGGAAUUCCGGGUGUAGCGGUGAAAUGCGUAGAUAUCCGGAGGAACACCGAUGGCGAAGGCAGCUUCCUGGCCUCUUAACUGACGCUGAGGUGCGAAAGCGUGGGGAGCGAACGGGAUUAGAUACCCCCGUAGUCC
rnacentral:rRNA from 1 species